rnacentral:rRNA from 1 species
ACGAACGCUGGCGGCGUGCUUAACACAUGCAAGUCGAACGGAAAGGCCCUGCUUUUGUGGGGUGCUCGAGUGGCGAACGGGUGAGUAACACGUGAGUAACCUGCCCUUGACUUUGGGAUAACUUCAGGAAACUGGGGCUAAUACCGGAUAGGAGCUCCUGCUGCAUGGUGGGGGUUGGAAAGUUUCGGCGGUUGGGGAUGGACUCGCGGCUUAUCAGCUUGUUGGUGGGGUAGUGGCUUACCAAGGCUUUGACGGGUAGCCGGCCUGAGAGGGUGACCGGCCAAAUGGGGACUGGGAUACGGCCCAGACCCCCACGGGAGGCAGGAGUGGGGAAUAUUGCACAAGGGGGGGAAGCCUAAUGCAGAAACGCCGGGUGGGGGAAGGCGGCCUUGGGGUUGUAAACCGCUUUCGCCUGUGACGAAGCGUGAGGGGCGGUAAUGGGUAAAGAAGCACCGGCUAACUACGU